AACGAACGCUGGCGGUAUGCCUAACACAUGCAAGUCGAACGAGAUCUUCGGAUCUAGUGGCGCACGGGUGCGUAACGCGUGGGAAUCUGCCCUUGGGUUCGGAAUAACAGUUAGAAAUGACUGCUAAUACCGGAUGAUGACGUAAGUCCAAAGAUUUAUCGCCCAAGGAUGAGCCCGCGUAGGAUUAGCUAGUUGGUGAGGUAAAGGCUCACCAAGGCGACGAUCCUUAGCUGGUCUGAGAGGAUGAUCAGCCACACUGGGACUGAGACACGGCCCAGACUCCUACGGGAGGCAGCAGUGGGGAAUAUUGGACAAUGGGCGAAAGCCUGAUCCAGCAAUGCCGCGUGAGUGAUGAAGGCCUUAGGGUUGUAAAGCUCUUUUACCCGGGAUGAUAAUGACAGUACCGGGAGAAUAAGCUCCGGCUAACUCCGUGCCAGCAGCCGCAGUAAUAC
rnacentral:rRNA from 1 species